UAUGCAGGGAAGUUCUACCCAUUCUACAAU
rnacentral:piRNA from 1 species